rnacentral:rRNA from 1 species
AUGGCGUUCAUCGACGCCUCCUCCGGCCGUUCAAGUACGCGGCCCGUGGAGGUUCACAACUACAGGGCCCUCGAAAUCCCACUCCUGCCAUGCUCAGAUGAGGAAGGUUUCGGCCUCGUACUUCUGAUUUCAUACACUCUGUCAUUUUUCACCCAUUUUAUUUCAACAAAGAUGGUUGUUUUAUGCUUGCCCUGCAAUGCUACUACAAAUCUGCAGGCCAAAAAACUAACUUCACCAAAAACAAGAAAAAAGAUGAGCACAGACGCCCGUCGAUGUCCGCUGUGUUAUCCUACUGAUGAAGUAAUUCAAGGAGCAGGUGGUUUCGUUCGCCUGAAGCACCAACAUAAAAAAAUCAAUUUUGGUUCUCUGUAG